CCUACGGGGGGCAGCAGUGGGGAAUAUUGGACAAUGGGCGAAAGCCUGAUCCAGCCAUGCCGCGUGUGUGAAGAAGGCCUUCGGGUUGUAAAGCACUUUCAGUGGGGAAGAAAGCCUUGGGGCUAAUACCCUCGAGGAAGGACAUCACCCACAGAAGAAGCACCGGCUAACUCCGUGCCAGCAGCCGCGGUAAUACGGAGGGUGCGAGCGUUAAUCGGAAUUACUGGGCGUAAAGCGCGCGUAGGCGGUCUGAUAAGCCGGUUGUGAAAGCCCCGGGCUCAACCUGGGAACGGCAUCCGGAACUGUCAGGCUAGAGUGCAGGAGAGGAAGGUAGAAUUCCCGGUGUAGCGGUGAAAUGCGUAGAGAUCGGGAGGAAUACCAGAGGCGAAGGCGGCCUUCUGGACUGACACUGACGCUGAGGUGCGAAAGCGUGGGUAGCAAACAGGAUUAGAUACCCUAGUAGUC
rnacentral:rRNA from 1 species